rnacentral:miRNA from 1 species
CGUGUGUUUGUGUGUGCGCACACGUGUGUGUGCAUGUGUGUGUGCAUGUUUGUGUGUGCGCGUGUGUGUUUGUGUGUGUGCAUGUGUUUGUGUGUGUGUGCCAGUGUGUGCAUGUGUAU